GUCAUUGUGUAUUGUGUUAGUUGCGGUUUCAUUAUGACAUGUCAGUUGCAGGGAGCUUUUCAGAUAGUUUCAUUUUAUAGUUUCACAUACACAAUUUAACGAGUCUUGAAGAUUUAGAAACUUCGACGACCGCAUUUCGUAUGAACGAUUUUCAUAAAUUAUCUUUGGUUCGAAGUCCUGCAUUACACAUUUCCAAACAUCUGCGAUGGUAGCUAACUUUCACAAUAUAGGACGUUAUUUCAUUUCUGUGCUGUAAAACUGGAUGUAGUGUCACACUAUAAUUUUCGGCCUUGUGAUACCCUGUUUACAUCCCUGAUGGCAUCAAACUGCAUCCAAUUUACACCUCCACAACACAGUAUCUUGUGUAUUUCUUCCUGCUAUUGUUACCUUAAUAGGACUGGCAGCCUGCACUAGUCUCCAUGCUCAAGCUAAUUAACUCCAAACUCUGCCCUCAACAACUGAGUUUCCUGAGGGGACACCUGCUAAAUGCAGCUGAUGGGGCUGCCACGUGUGUUAGUGACCACUGAGGUCGAAAUUGAGUCUGAUUUGUAAUGGAAGUUGUUGCUUCCUUGACUGAUGUAGCGACCAGAAAAUUGCCUACAGUUGUGG